rnacentral:rRNA from 1 species
CCUACGGGUGGCAGCAGUGGGGAAUAUUGGACAAUGGGGGAAACCCUGAUGCAGCGACGCCGCGUGAGUGAAGAAGUAUUUCGGUACGUAAAGCUCUAUCAGCAGGAAAGAAAAUGACGGUACCUGACUAAGAAGCCCCGGCUAACUACGUGCCAGCAGCCGCGGUAAUACGUAGGGGGCAAGCGUUAUCCGGAUUUACUGGGUGUAAAGGGAGCGUAGACGGCAGGGCAAGUCUGGAGUGAAAUGCCGGGGCUCAACCCCGGAACUGCUCUGGAAACUGUCAAGCUGGAGUGCAGGAGAGGUAAGCGGAAUUCCUGGUGUAGCGGUGAAAUGCGUAGAUAUCAGGAGGAAAACCGGCGGCGAAGGCGGCUUACUGGACUGUAACUGACGUUGAGGCUCGAAGGCGUGGGGAGCAAACAGGAUUAGAUACCCGAGUAGUC